rnacentral:rRNA from 1 species
AGUGAACGCUGGCGGUAGGCCUAACACAUGCAAGUCGAACGGCAGCACAGGAGAGCUUGCUCUCUGGGUGGCGAGUGGCGGACGGGUGAGGAAUACAUCGGAAUCUACCUUUUCGUGGGGGAUAACGUAGGGAAACUUACGCUAAUACCGCAUACGACCUUCGGGUGAAAGCAGGGGACCUUCGGGCCUUGCGCGGAUAGAUGAGCCGAUGUCGGAUUAGCUAGUUGGCGAGGUAAAGGCCCACCAAGGCGACGAUCCGUAGCUGGUCUGAGAGGAUGAUCAGCCACACUGGAACUGAGACACGGUCCAGACUCCUACGGGAGGCAGCAGUGGGGAAUAUUGGACAAAGGGCGCAAGCCUGAUCCAGCCAUACCGCGUGGGUGAAGAAGGCCUUCGGGUUGUAAAGCCCUUUUGUUGGGAAAGAAAAGCAGUCGGUUAAUACCCGGUUGUUCUGACGGUACCCAAAGAAUAAGCACCGGCUAACUUCGUG